rnacentral:rRNA from 1 species
GAUGAACGCUGACAGAAUGCUUAACACAUGCAAGUCAACUUGAAUUUGGGUUUUUAACUUAGGUUUGGGUGGCGGACGGGUGAGUAACGCGUAAAGAACUUGCCUCACAGCUAGGGACAACAUUUGGAAACGAAUGCUAAUACCUAAUAUUAUGAUAAUAGGGCAUCCCAUAAUUAUGAAAGCUAUAAGCGCUGUGAGAGAGCUUUGCGUCCCAUUAGCUAGUUGGAGAGGUAACGGCUCACCAAGGCGAUGAUGGGUAGCCGGCCUGAGAGGGUGAUCGGCCACAAGGGGACUGAGACACGGCCCUUACUCCUACGGGAGGCAGCAGUGGGGAAUAUUGGACAAUGGACCAAGAGUCUGAUCCAGCAAUUCUGUGUGCACGAUGAAGUUUUUCGGAAUGUAAAGUGCUUUCAGUUGGGAAGAAAGAAAUGACGGUACCAACAGAAGAAGUGACGGCUAAAUACGUGCCAGCAGCCGCGGUAAUACGUAUGUCACGAGCGUUAUCCGGAUUUAUUGGGCGUAAAGCGCGUCUAGGUGGUUAUGUAAGUCUGAUGUGAAAAUGCAGGGCUCAACUCUGUAUUGCGUUGGAAACUGUAUAACUAGAGUACUGGAGAGGUAAGCGGAACUACAAGUGUAGAAGUGAAAUUCGUAGAUAUUUGUAGGAAUGCCGAUGGGGAAGCCAGCUUACUGGACAGAUACUGACGCUGAAGCGCGAAAGCGUGGGUAGCAAACAGG